GCUCCCUUCCCACAGCAGUCCCUGGUGCAACAGGGAUCAGGUCUCUAGGAAAACUACAAACCCUAUCAAGCUGAAAAUUUCCCAUGUUCAUCUGCACGAAUUCUAGUUCUCCAGGUGAGUAAAAAUACCAUUCUGGUUCCGUUUCUGCAUCGGUCACUACGUUUCCAACUUCACUGUUUUGCUCUAGCAAAGAAGUUGACAUUGUGUUGUAAGCCCCAUCAUUGUUUGACGUUGCUGUGGUUUUACGUUUCUUUUCUGGAGGACCAUCAACAGCAGCUGACAAUGUGGCUUGAACAUCUUGUGGAACUUUGUCACAAAUUGUAACGCCACCGCUUUGAACUCCUGACCUAUGAUGCUUGAACCUGGUGAUCGGAAUUUGAUUGGAUAAUAAAUGCCCACAAAACUUACACCGCCUACGACCGCCAGGUAUCUCCUCAACAUGCUCCCAGAAUGGACCCUUUGGUAGAACCAUUUUCUCCUUUUUCUUCUGUGGCCUGCAGGGGGGAAUAACAAAUUCAUUUAUAUGGAGACAAUACAGAAAUAAGGAUUGCAUUCCAUGGAAGACAAUGAGAUAAAUCUCUGAAACAGAACUAAGCAAAGGAAAAGGCUGCGUAUAUAUGUAUAUACCUUCUGGUCUGAUAAUCUGAUAUUGUCUCUUCA
rnacentral:lncRNA from 1 species